rnacentral:rRNA from 1 species
UUCAACGGAGAGUUUGAUCCUGGCUCAGGACGAACGCUGGCGGCGUGCUUAACACAUGCAAGUCGAGCGGUAAGGCCUUUCGGGGUACA